rnacentral:rRNA from 1 species
UACGUAGGGGGCAAGCGUUGUCCGGAAUCAUUGGGCGUAAAGCGCGUGUAGGCGGCCCGGUAAGUCCGCUGUGAAAGUCGGGGGCUCAACCCUCGGAUGCCGGGUGGAUACUGUCGGGCUUGAGUACGGAAGAGGCGAGUGGAAUUCCUGGUGUAGCGGUGAAAUGCGCAGAUAUCAGGAGGAACACCAAUUGCGAAGGCAGCUCGCUGGGACGUUACUGACGCUGAGACGCGAAAGCGUGGGGAGCAAACAGG